GCUGGUGGCGCGGUGCAGGGCUCUUAAGAACGAACGGCUUGGGCGCGGACUGGUAUCCGGGGACUGUGACUUGCAGGGUCCGCCAUGGAGCCAGAGCAGAUGCUGGAGGGACAAACGCAGGUUGCAGAAAAUCCUCACUCUGAGUACGGUCUCACAGACAACGUUGAGAGGAUAGUAGAAAAUGAGAAGAUUAAUGCAGAAAAGUCAUCAAAGCAAAAGGUAGAUCUCCAGUCUUUGCCAACUCGUGCCUACCUGGAUCAGACAGUUGUGCCUAUCUUAUUACAGGGACUUGCUGUGCUUGCAAAGGAAAGAUGAGGAAACAGACUUGGAGAGGUUAAGUGACAUGCUCAAGACAACACUGCUGAGGGGGUUUCACCGUGUUGCCCAGGCUGGUUGCGAACUCCUGAGCUCAGGCAAUCUGUCUGCCUCGGCCUCCCAACGUGCUAGGAUUACAGGCGUGAGCCACCGCGCCCAGCCAAUGUUUUUUUUUUUUUUUUUUUUUUUUUAAGAGGUGAGGUCUCACUAUGUUGCCCAG
rnacentral:sRNA from 1 species